rnacentral:rRNA from 1 species
AACAGGGAUUGCCUCAGUAACGGCGAGUGAGCGGCAAAAGCUCAAAUUUGAAAUCUAGUACCUUCGGUGCUCGAGUUGUAAUUUGAAGAUGGUAACUUUGGAGUUGGCCCUUGUCUAUGUUCCUUGGAACAGGACGUCACAGAGGGUGAGAAUCCCGUCUGGCGAGGAGAUCCAACUCUAUGUAAAGUGCUAUCGAAGAGUCGAGUUGUUUGGGAAUGCAGCUCUAAGUGGGUGGUAAAUUCCAUCUAAAGCUAAAUAUUGGCGAGAGACCGAUAGCGAACAAGUACAGUGAUGGAAAGAUGAAAAGAACUUUGAAAAGAGAGUGAAAAAGUACGUGAAAUUGUUGAAAGGGAAGGUUAUUAGAUCAGACUUGGUGUUUUACGAUUAUCUUCCCUUCUUGGGUUGUGCACUCGUAUCUCACUGGGCCAGCAUCGAUUCGGAUGGUAAGAUAAUGACAUUGGAACGUGGCUUUCUUCGGGAAGUGUUAUAGCCUUUGUUGAUGUUGCCUAUCUGGAUCGAGGACUGCGUCUUUGGACUAGGAUGCUGG